rfam:Vigna angularis cultivar Jingnong 6 chromosome 1, whole genome shotgun sequence.
GGAGAGUAUGUUUGCAAUAAUGAAACUCAAAGGAAUUGAUAGGGGUCGCACAAGCAGUGAAGCAUGUGGUUUAAUUUGAUGCAAAGUAAAGAACAAUUUCCGGGCUUGACAUGCUGUGAAUCCUCUUGAAAGAGAGGGUGCCUUCAGGAACACAAACACAAGUGGUGCAUGACUGUGAUCAGCUCGUGCCACAAGGUGUUGGAUUAAGUCCCGCAACGAGCGUAACCAUAUUGUUUAGUUGCUAAGAUUGAGUUUGAAACCCUAAGCAGAAUGUCGGUGAUAAGUCGGAACAAGGUGAGGAUAAUGUCAAGUCAUCAUGUCCUUUAUGCCUUGAACGACACACAUGCUACAAUGGAUGAAAUAAAAGAUCGUAAUCUUGCAAGGAUGAACUAAUUCCAUAAAAUAUACUCCAAUUAUAAUUCUGUAGUAAAUGAAUUUUGCGAUACAAUCCUAGUGAUAGAAUUACA